GAAUGCACCGCGGCCGCAGCUUGCUUAUGGACAGCGCUAACAGAGAUCACAGUGGGACCACAGAAGGAACCCAGGCCCUCAUCAACUGGCGUAUUCCCAAUGAGGGCCUAUUUACAGGCAGGAGGAACUCCUCCAAAACCGAAUGGCAGUAAGUAAUUUUUAUUUAUGUCUGCCUAAAUGUUUAUGUUCAGCUCUUGUGACACUAAACUUGUUUUCUAUUCAACUAGUGAUUUUGUGUGAUUUUGGCUACCAAAAGGGCCAAUAAAUGUUUGUCCCUUUUAGAAAAACUUGACAAGUUUUAAAUAAAAUCUAUAAAUGUUUUUCUUAUCUAAGUGAGUUUCUUUUGAGCAAGGGCACAGAGAAUUGAGAGGGGAAAGAAAACAAUUGUAACAGUGUAAAAAGACAUUUAUUUUAUACAAAUGAUUUUACUUUGGAACAGAGUCAAGAUGUAACAUGUUCAGAACAAUUAACAUAAGAUUUAAAACAAAUAAUUAACUUUUAUAAACACCAUGGACAAAGAGAACACCCACAAACAUACAAUUGAUAAAUAACAGGAAUGGAAAUUAAUUUACUGAUUUAAUUUGUUUUACAGGUAGUGGAAAAAAAAUUAAAUGAAGCAGCAUGUGUACAUAACUACAACUGAUCUAGGUUAGGUCACAUGUAGGCUUGUUCACUUAAACAUGCAGCCAGCACUGCCGGGCUGCCAGUCUGGCUCGGAGGCAGCUUCCAGACAGCUUGCUGUCUUCAGCCGCCGGAUGCCGUCCUCUUCUGGGUAAACCUCCUCAUCCUCCACGUCAAGCUGGUCCCCUGCCUCUAUACUAAUAUUGUGGAGGAUGCAGCAGGCGGCGAUUACUUUUGGGGCAAAUGUCGGGCGGACCUCCAGCGCCCUAAAGAAAAUGGAACGCCACCACGUCUUUAUAGCACCAAAGGCACGCUCAGUGAUGUUUCUUGCCUUGGCGUGGUGCCUGUAGUGGCGUGCCUCCACUUGGACUGUACCAAAUAUAAAAUAACUUGUAAUUUAGGACAAGAAGGUAAGAGAUCUUAAUGGCAACUGGCGGGCGAUAGGGCGUCAGGGAGGUGAUUGGGUCCAGGAGGCAUGGGAACGCACCAUUGCAGUGUAGAAAAAAAAUCCCUUAGGUGGGUAUAAAGCAUUUUUAUACAACGGAGAGCGCCACAGUACCAGUGAGUGAUGGACAAAGCCUACAUUGUCGAUGUAAACAUUCAAAAUCUUUCCCCGUGCGUCACACACACCCUGCAGGAUGAUUGAAGGGAAGAGUUUUCUGUUUAAAUAACAUUUCUUUUGUGGCUCUGCAGGUGGAACAAUUCGCACGUCACCCACCAAUGGCACCGACUGCUCCUUUGAGCGCCUCGAUCCCGGCAAGGCGGGCAAAACCAGCACCCACUCCCUCCAAAUCUUGUCUUUUUGGGAAGAAAUUUUUUUUUAAUGAUCCCCAUCAAGGAGUUCAUGACUCUGUGCACCACCUGGCACACAAGGGCAUCACAAAGAUGUCGGCUGUUUCCCUAUAGGAUGCACCGCCGCCAGCCAGAAGAGGGUCACCAGCACCUCUAUCAUUAUCCUCAUG